UGGGGCGUCGCCAAGUGGUAAGGCAGCGGUUUUUGGUACCGCCAUUCGCAGGUUCGAAUCCUUCCGCCCCA
rnacentral:tRNA from 1 species